UACAGAGGUCUCAAGCGUUUGUUCGGAUUCAUUGGGCGUAAAGGGUGCGUAGGUGGCGCCGUAAGUCGGGUGUGAAAUUUCGGAGCUUAACUCCGAAACUGCAUUCGAUACUGCGGUGCUUGAGGACUGGAGAGGAGACUGGAAUUCAUGGUGUAGCAGUGAAAUGCGUAGAGAUCAUGAGGAAGACCAGUGGCGAAGGCGGCUCUCUGGGACGGUACUGACGCUGAGACGCGAAAGCGUGGGGAGCGAACAGG
rnacentral:rRNA from 1 species